rnacentral:misc_RNA from 1 species
AUGAAGUCAAGGCUCCCAAGAAGCGAGCGGAGACUUGGGUUCAGGAUGAGACUCGAAGCUUAAUUGCCCUACGCCGGGAGAUGGAUGGCUUGUUUAAUACUUCGAAAUCCAACAAGCAUUUGUGGGAGCAGAUAUCGGCUAAGAUGAGGGAAAGGGGAUUUGAUCGCUCCCCGACUAUGUGUACUGAUAAGUGGAGGAACUUGCUCAAGGAGUUCAAGAAAGCAAAGCACCAUGACAGGGGAAGU